rnacentral:rRNA from 1 species
CCUACGGGUGGCAGCAGUGGGGAAUAUUGCACAAUGGGCGCAAGCCUGAUGCAGCCAUGCCGCGUGUAUGAAGAAGGCCUUCGGGUUGUAAAGUACUUUCAGCGGGGAGGAAGGGAGUAAAGUUAAUACCUUUGCUCAUUGACGUUACCCGCAGAAGAAGCACCGGCUAACUCCGUGCCAGCAGCCGCGGUAAUACGGAGGGUGCAAGCGUUAAUCGGAAUUACUGGGCGUAAAGCGCACGCAGGCGGUUUGUUAAGUCAGAUGUGAAAUCCCCGGGCUCAACCUGGGAACUGCAUCUGAUACUGGCAAGCUUGAGUCUCGUAGAGGGGGGUAGAAUUCCAGGUGUAGCGGUGAAAUGCGUAGAGAUCUGGAGGAAUACCGGUGGCGAAGGCGGCCCCCUGGACGAAGACUGACGCUCAGGUGCGAAAGCGUGGGGAGCAAACAGGAUUAGAUACCCUAGUAGUC